rnacentral:rRNA from 1 species
AGUAGCGGCGAGCGAAGCGGGAAGAGCUCAAAUUUAUAAUCUGGCACCUUCGGUGUCCGAGUUGUAAUCUCUAGAAAUGUUUUCCGCGUUGGACCGCACACAAGUCUGUUGGAAUACAGCGGCAUAGUGGUGAGACCCCCGUAUAUGGUGCGGACGCCCAGCGCUUUGUGAUACAUUUUCGAAGAGUCGAGUUGUUUGGGAAUGCAGCUCAAAUUGGGUGGUAAAUUCCAUCUAAAGCUAAAUAUUGGCGAGAGACCGAUAGCGAACAAGUACCGUGAGGGAAAGAUGAAAAGCACUUUGGAAAGAGAGUUAACAGUACGUGAAAUUGUUGGAAGGGAAACGCUUGAAGUCAGACUUGCUUGCCGAGCAAUCGGUUUGCAGGCCAGCAUCAGUUUUCCGGGAUGGAUAAUGGUAGAGAGAAGGUAGCAGUUUCGGCUGUGUUAUAGCUCUCUGCUGGAUACAUCUUGGGGGACUGAGGAACGCAGUGUGCCUUUGGCGGGGGUUUCGACCUCUUCACACUUAGGAUGCUGGUGGAAUGGCUUUAAACGACCCGUCUU